CGUUAAGAAGCUAAACGGGCAUAAAGCGUUAGCCUUUUAAGCUAAAGAUUGGUGACUGCCAACCACCCUUAACGA
rnacentral:tRNA from 1 species